UCGGUGGGCAACUUCAGCGCCAUGCAGAGCAGCCCGCUGGAUUCGUGUAUGCGCAACCUGGGCGAGAGUUUCGGCCCCACGACCGACACAAUCGCGGUGGCAUUCCCGUGCAACCGGGAUGAGACGCGGAGUCGAGCUCGAUGCCUUCGAGCGCAGCUUUCGGUGAGGGCCGGCGCUGGCCAAUCAAGCCAGGGUAUUCAACGUGGAUGAUAUGUUCGCGCCCAUUGGGCGCCUGAAGCUCAUACUGCUGCUUAUCAACCUGGUCUACUGAAGAGGUUCGAGCAAGGAAUUGAGCUUGGCGGCGAAGCACACCCGUCAGACGACGGACGCAUGAUGAAUAUACGUUUAUGCCGAGAAACAAGGAAAAAUGAAAAACGCGAUCAAGAAGUCUGUGAUCUAUCAUCUGGAUAUCGUACUUUAAUGUUGUGCAAUUACUAUUUCUUUAAUGUUAUAGCUACUGCGUAGUCUCGCCCCACAAAUACACCAUUACAACACAGCACGUAUGCCGCGCAUGGGAAGAAUUCAGCGCUGUACACGUAUGGAUCAUACCGAGACGCGAAGAGAACAGCUGAGCACUUCUAUUUGCCUAAACACAGAGAUGAAGGUAUGAAACGUUCUGCCAGGCUAUUCUUUAAACAUGAUUUGCGUAAUCUUCUUCGAUUCAUUUCCUUGGUGAUGCGGCAUCCUUGAUUCUUGUAUCAUCUCGCAUUACUUGAAUGAUUUUUAAUUUUUCGUUGUUCACGGCGCAACCGUUGAGGUGAAAUCAGCAUCAACUUUCUCAGGAAGCUGAACGCAAGUAUGGAAUAAAUCACUUUGACAGAGUUC